UGGGGAAUAUUGCACAAUGGAGGGAACUCUGAUGCAGCGACGCCGCGUGAACGAUGAAGGCUUUCGAGUCGUAAAGUUCUUUUAUAUGGGAAGAUAAUGACGGUACCAUAAGAAAAAGCCCCGGCUAACUACGUGCCAGCAGCCGCGGUAAUACGUAGGGGGCUAGCGUUGUCCGGAAUCACUGGGCGUAAAGGGUUCGCAGGCGGAAAUGCAAGUCAGAUGUAAAAGGCAGUAGCUUAACUACUGUAAGCAUUUGAAACUGCAUAUCUUGAGAAGAGUAGAGGUAAGUGGAAUUUUUAGUGUAGCGGUGAAAUGCGUAGAUAUUAAAAAGAAUACCGGUGGCGAAGGCGACUUACUGGGCUCAUUCUGACGCUGAGGAACGAAAGCGUGGGUAGCAAACAGG
rnacentral:rRNA from 2 species